GACAUCAACAGAGACUCCGCUAGUAGUGGCGAGCGAACGCGGACGAGGCCAGUGGCUGCAUUUUAAGAACCGGAACCUGUCAGGAAAGCAGGGCCUCAGAGGGUGAUAGCCCCGUACGGGUAGAAAGAGAUGCAGUCCUUGAGUAAGGCGGGACACGAGAAAUCCUGUCUGAACAUGGGGGGACCACCCUCCAAGCCUAAGUACUCCUCGACGACCGAUAGCGAACAAGUACCGUGAGGGAAAGGUGAAAAGCACCCCGACAAGGGGAGUGAAACAGUUCCUGAAACCGGAUGCCUACAAACAGUCGGGGCCCAAGAUUCGUUCUGGGUGACGGCGUACCUUUUGUAUAAUGGGUCAGCGACUUAAUCUGACGAGCAAGCUUAAGCCGGUAGGUGUAGGCGCAGCGAAAGCGAGUCUGAACAGGGCGUUCAGUUCGUCGGAUUAGACCCGAAACCGGGUGAUCUAGCCAUGAGCAGGCUGAAGGUGCGGUAACACGCACUGAAGGGCCGAACCGACGUCUGUUGAAAAAGACGCGGAUGACUUGUGGCUAGGGGUGAAAGGCCAAUCAAACUCGGAAAUAGCUGGUUCUCCGCGAAAUCUAUUUAGGUAGAGCGUCGGACGAAUACCUCAGGGGGUAGAGCACUGGAUGGGCUAGGGGGAUUUACCAUCUUACCAAACCUAACCAAACUCCGAAUACCUGAGAGUACUAUCCGGCAGACAGACGGUGGGUGCUAACGUCCAUCGUCAAAAGGGAAACAACCCUGACCGCCAGCUAAGGCCCCCAAAUCAUGGCUAAGUGUGAAAGGAUGUGGGGAUCCCAAAACAACCAGGAUGUUGGCUUAGAAGCAGCCAUCAUUUAAAGAAAGCGUAACAGCUCACUGGUCUAGACAAGGGUUCCUGCGCCGACAAUGUAACGGGGCUCAAGCCAUGUGCCGAAGCUGCGGGUGUGACGCAAGUCACGCGGUAGCGGAGCGUUCCGUAAGCCUGCGAAGGGAGACUCGUGAGAGCUCCUGGAGGUAUCGGAAGUGCGAAUGCUGACAUGAGUAACGACAAACAGUGUGAGAGACACUGUCGCCGAAAGUCCAAGGGUUCCUGCGUAAAGCUAAUCUGCGCAGGGUUAGCCGGCUCCUAAGGCGAGGCCGAAAGGCGUAGUCGAUGGGAAUGAGGUGAAUAUUCCUCAGCCUGCGGGUAGUGACGAAUGCCGUGUAUUGUCAGGUCUUACUGGAUUGAUCUGGCAGUGAAGGUGUUCCGGGAAAUAGCUCCCGCGUAUAGACCGUACCCUAAACCGACACAGGUGGACUGGUAGAGCAUACCAAGGCGCUUGAGAGAAUGGUGCUGAAGGAACUCGGCAAAUUGCCUCCGUAACUUCGGGAGAAGGAGGCCCUGGUGUUGGGCAACCAGCAUCAGGGGGCACAGACUAGGGGGUAGCGACUGUUUACCUAAAACACAGGGCUCUGCGAAGCCGUAAGGCGACGUAUAGGGUCUGACGCCUGCCCGGUGCCGGAAGGUUAAGAGGAGAGGUGCAAGCCUUGAAUUGAAGCCCCGGUAAACGGCGGCCGUAACUAUAACGGUCCUAAGGUAGCGAAAUUCCUUGUCGGGUAAGUUCCGACCUGCACGAAUGGCGUAACGAUGGCCACACUGUCUCCUCCAGAGACUCAGCGAAGUUGAAAUGUUUGUGAUGAUGCAAUCUCCCCGCGGAAAGACGGAAAGACCCCAUGAACCUUUACUGUAGCUUUACAUUGGACUUUGAACAGAUCUGUGUAGGAUAGGUGGGAGGCUUUGAAGUAGGGACGCUAGUUUCUAUGGAGCCAACGUUGAAAUACCACCCUGGUGUGUUUGAGGUUCUAACCUAGGUCCAUUAUCUGGAUCGGGGACAGUGCAUGGUAGGCAGUUUGACUGGGGCGGUCUCCUCCCAAAGCGUAACGGAGGAGUUCGAAGGUACGCUAGUUACGGUCGGACAUCGUGACGAUAGUGCAAUGGCAUAAGCGUGCUUAACUGCGAGACUGACAAGUCGAGCAGAUGCGAAAGCAGGACAUAGUGAUCCGGUGGUUCUGUAUGGAAGGGCCAUCGCUCAACGGAUAAAAGGUACUCUGGGGAUAACAGGCUGAUACCGCCCAAGAGUUCAUAUCGACGGCGGUGUUUGGCACCUCGAUGUCGGCUCAUCACAUCCUGGGGCUGAAG
rnacentral:ncRNA from 1 species